GUUGUACUCCCUUCGUUUUAAAAUUAUUGUCUCGGAUUUAUCUAGAUAUGAAUGUAUCUAGUCACAUUUUAGUAUAUAGAUGCAUUUAUAUCUAGAAAAAUUUAAGACAAGAAUUUUGAAACGAAGGGAGUAUUAG
rfam:Hordeum vulgare subsp. vulgare, WGS project CAJW01000000 data, contig: morex_contig_2553834